rnacentral:rRNA from 1 species
UACGUAGGGCGCAAGCGUUGUCCGGAAUUAUUGGGCGUAAAGAGCUCGUAGGCGGCUUGUCACGUCGGAUGUGAAAGCCCGGGGCUUAACUCCGGGUCUGCAUUCGAUACGGGCUGGCUAGAGUGUGGUAGGGGAGAUCGGAAUUCCUGGUGUAGCGGUGAAAUGCGCAGAUAUCAGGAGGAACACCGGUGGCGAAGGCGGGUCUCUGGGCAUCUCCUGACGCUGAGGCGCGAAAGCGUGGGGAGCAAACGGG